CCAAAACAUCUGGGGACCCCAGGUUGAGAACCACUGAUCUGAAGGAAGAUGGAUGGCUGACCUUCUUAGCUAUACAGUGUUCCCUCACUUAUCGCAGGGUUUAUGUUCCAGGACCACUAUGUGUGAAGAAGAGCAAACCACAGACACUUACUACAAUGUAGUCUGUACUUUAUUUUAGCAGUUGCAAUAUACAGUACACCGGCAGAGAAGAAGAAUGGAAGCUAAAUAACCCUUUUUUAUUUCCAACCCUUCCCUCCCCCGUCUCGCGAAAAGCAAACCGCUAAGUAGCAAGGGAACACUGUAAAGCUUUUCAUUCCCCCCCCCCCAAUUCUCUUGAAAAGGGGCUUUAUUUUGUAUCUAUAGUAAUGUCUAUACCAUUACCAUUACGGCAGCAGAAUCUGUCCCUUGUAUAACAAAGCUACCUACAAAAAUGUUGCUGCAUAGAGUUCAUCAAGGCAGCCACAUAUAAUUUCUAUUUUUCCAGCCUCCCCAUUUUAUACAUGUUUGGUGCUGUUUUGCCUACACAAUGGAUUUGUGAUCAGAGAAUGAGUUCUCUAUUAUAAUGUAAGAGAGAUAGCCGCAUAUUUCUUAAUUAAUUUGUUUUUUUAUGAAAAUAUGUUUUCCCCAUUUUUUUCUGUUUCAGAAAAGGAAAAAAAUCAAUGUAUUCAUCAGAUACCAUUUGCUGCUUUUUCUCACCCUCUCAAGACCAGCUAACCUUAACAUCAGCAAUCUACCCUCUUCCUGCCAAUCAAAAUUAAUUAGCUGAAUAUCUCCAGCACAACUGCUUUCACAGUAAAAUGCCCAAUAAAUGCUCAAAACAGAAUGCAUUUAAAAUAAGUAUGUCACAUUAGUAACCUAUGGAUGUGAAAGCUGGACCAUAAGGAAGGUUGAGCAAAGGAAGAUAGACGCUUUUGAACUGUGGUGUUGGAGGAAAAUCUUGAGAGUGCCCUGGACCACAAGAAUAUCCAACCAGUCCACCAUAAUCCAGGAAAUAAUGCCCGGCUGCUCACUGGAAGAAAGGAUAUUACAGGCAAAGAUAAAGUAUUUUGGCCACAUAAUGAGGAGACAGGAAAGUUUGGAGAAGACAAUGAUGCUGGGGAAAAUAGAAGGAAAAAGGAAGAGGGACCGACCAAGGGCAAGAUGGAUGGAUGGUAUCUUUGAAGUGACUGGUUUGACCUUGAAGGAGCUGGGGGUAGUGACAGGGAGCUCUGGCAUGGGCUGGUCCAUGAGGUCACGAAGAGUCAGGAGUGACUGAACAAAUAAACAACAACCUGAUGGACAAACUCAUCAAAGUAGCCUCCUACACAAUGCUCUCCAAACCCAAUUUUUUUCACAUAAACAAUCACCUAGAGAGUUUUCCCACAAAUUAAAUUAAAAUGGCAUUUGAACUGCAUGGCUCCUCUUCAGUUCUCUAUCCUGCUUUACUUUUCAAGGAUGCCGGACAGGCAUGUCAGAAAGAUGGUGAUGAUGCCGAUGAUAAUUACAGUUUCUCCAGUGGAUAUUUCAGGAUCAGCUCAUAUUGAAUGUGUAGAACCAUGAUUGCAACCUCAUGUUGCAUUUCAGUGGAAGAAUCAAGGACAUAAACCUAAGCUUCUGCCUUUUGCUGGAAGGUGGCAAUGGAUGAAGGGGGCUUUCCCUUUCCCUAUGUUCCAAUCUUGAAAUGACCUGUUGAAAAAACAGAACUUGGCUGGUCUUCACUCAUCUGCUAUAUCUUUUCAA